UGGGGCUGCCAGGUAGAUCGGGAUGGCGUGGAGGAGGCAGGGAGGUUGACCCGACCGGAGAUCGGAAUUCAAGACAGUAAUUAUUUGGGAGGAAGCCCUGGUCCGGGUGAGAAGAGAGACGGGGACCUGCAGGGGGCGCCAACGAGCAGGCUCCACAAGGCUGGGUUCCCAGUGGGCCCUCAAGAAGGCCGCCAAGAGCAAUUGCCUCAGAGACGUCCUACCCGAGGGAGGAGGGAGGAGGAAGCCGAAGCGUUUCUCAUCAACUCUCCUUCCGUCUGUGGUCAGGGCUGCUCCCAGGAGAGCCGUGUGGGCCAACAACGUGGCCUCCUGUGACCAGAGCAGCCUCAGCAAAGAAAUGCCGGUCUCGCAGGUGGAGGGUGCUUGCCGACCGCAGCUGCCCUGGUGCCACAUUGUGUUUGCCCACCCCUCUCCUAAAGGCAUUCUUUGGCUUCUAAAAUUUUACUAUAACCAACGAAGCCAUGUGACCUCAAAUAAGGUCUUUCCAUUACAUUAAAAAUCAAGCUUUA